GACGAACGCUGGCGGCGUGCUUAACACAUGCAAGUCGAGCGAUGAAUUUUCUUCGGAGAUGGAUUAGCGGCGAACGGGUGAGGAACACGUGAAGAAUCUGCCCUCCACUUUGGGAUAACACAGGGAAACAUGUGCUAAUACCGAAUAUUGAAACAUAAGUGGCAUCACGGAGUUUUGAAAGAAUUUCGGUGGAGGAUGAAUUCGCGGCCUAUCAGCUAGUUGGUGAGGUAAUGGCUCACCAAGGCAACGACGGGUAGCCGGCCUGAGAGGGCGACCGGCCACACUGGGACUGAGACACGGCCCAGACUCCUACGGGAGGCAGCAGUGGGGAAUAUUGGGCAAUGGAGGAAACUCUGACCCAGCGACGCCGCGUGCGGGAUGAAGGCCUUCGGGUUGUAAACCGCUUUCAGUAGGGAAGAAGCGAAAGUGACGGUACCUACAAAAGAAGCACCGGCUAACUAUGUGCCAGCCGCCGCCGUAA
rnacentral:rRNA from 1 species